rnacentral:rRNA from 1 species
UACGUAGGGGGCAAGCGUUGUCCGGAUUUAUUGGGCGUAAAGAGCGUGUAGGCGGCCAAGCAGGUCCGCUGUGAAAACUCGAGGCUCAACCUCGAGACGUCGGUGGAAACCGUUUGGCUAGAGUCCGGAAGAGGAGAGUGGAAUUCCCGGUGUAGCGGUGAAAUGCGCAGAUAUCAGGAGGAACACCGAUUGCGAAGGCAGCUCGCUGGAACGUUACUGACGCUGAGAACGCGAAAGCGUGGGGAGCAAACAGG